UACGAAGGGGGCUAGCGUUGUUCGGAAUUACUGGGCGUAAAGCGUGCGGAGGCGGUUUCUCAAGUUAGGGGUGAAAGCCCAGAGCUCAACUCUGGAAUUGCCUUUGAGACUGAGUGGCUUGAGUACGAGAGAGGUGAGUGGAAUUCCCAGUGUAGAGGUGAAAUUCGUAGAUAUUGGGAAGAACACCGGUGGCGAAGGCGGCUCACUGGCUCGUAACUGACGCUCAUGCACGACAGCGUGGGGAUCAAACAGG
rnacentral:rRNA from 1 species